GACGAACGCUGGCGGCGUGCCUAAUACAUGCAAGUAGAACGCUGAAGGAGGAGCUUGCUUCUCCGGAUGAGUUGCGAACGGGUGAGUAACGCGUAGGUAACCUGCCUGGUAGCGGGGGAUAACUAUUGGAAACGAUAGCUAAUACCGCAUAACAGUAGAUGUUGCAUGACAUUUGCUUAAAAGGUGCAAUUGCAUCACUACCAGAUGGACCUGUGUUGUAUUAGCUAGUUGGUGAGGUAACGGCUCACCAAGGCGACGAUACAUAGCCGACCUGAGAGGGUGAUCGGCCACACUGGGACUGAGACACGGCCCAGACUCCUACGGGAGGCAGCAGUAGGGAAUCUUCGGCAAUGGACGGAAGUCUGACCGAGCAACGCCGCGUGAGUGAAGAAGGUUUUCGGAUCGUAAAGCUCUGUUGUAAGAGAAGAACGAGUGUGAGAGUGGAAAGUUCACACUGUGACGGUAUCUUACCAGAAAGGGACGGCUAACUACGUG
rnacentral:rRNA from 1 species